GCGCCCGUAGCUCAACUGGAUAGAGCACCGGCCUUCUAAGCCGGUGGUUGCAGGUUCGAUUCCUGCCGGGCGCGCCA
rnacentral:tRNA from 3 species